UUAAGUUCAGCGGGUAUUCCUACCUGAUCCGAGGUCAACCUUAUAAAAAUAGGGGGUUUAACGGCAGGACGUCAGCACCGGCACCUGAAGCGAGAAGAAUUACUACGCUUAGGGUCAGCACGACUCCGCCACUCUAUUUAAGGAGCUAUCCCUAGAGAUAGGCUCCCAAAACCAAGCAGCUAGGGCUUGAUGGUCGAAAU
rnacentral:misc_RNA from 1 species